AAUAGAAAUACUCAAUUUGGAAGCUUUAGGUUGAAGAGCUAAUAAAUGUUUGACUUUUUUGUAAACGAUCUCGGAUUUGCAUUUUGAUGAUUCCAAUAGGUUUUUAUGGUAACUUUGUACUUGGAAUUGGUCUACUUUGUCAUUUAGGACUUGUGUGCAAGCUGUGGUAUUAUUCCGGGUUUGUUUGGUAGGAAUAAGAUGCUUGGUUCUAAUUUUGGAAGCUCUUGAGUUUCAUUAUGAUUUUGAUGUGUUUUGGUAUUUGAUUCGUAAUUGUAUAUGUUAUUUCAAUGAUCAAAGCAUAUGAGUGAGUUCAUAUGAGGUUUAUGUACUUGUUGGUAUGAUUGAACGGGGUUCUGAGGGGCCCGGGAGAGUUUUUGAUUGAUUUUGGAUUGUUUUUGCUAAGUUGAGUUGGGCUAGUUCUGGUGUUCUCGCAUUUUUUGAUGAGGAGGUCGCAAAUGUGACCAUCGUAUUUGCGAUUCAUGGCUUUUGGGUAUGGGCCUCCAAUUUUCGUGGAUUUUGUCGCAUUUGCGACUGGUCACCUGGGGAGGGGCUUCACAUUUUCUAAGCAUUUUAUCGCAAAUACGAUAUCUGCAAGGUCUGUCAAGGGUCGCUUUUGCGAACCCUUGGUCACAAAUGCAUCAUCUAUAGUUGGUUAUAUGCUGUGUAUUUCAGGAUAUAGUCUCAUUUUAUCACAUUUUGUGCCCUAGACUCGGUAGGGGGCUAUUUUUGGAGGGGAUUUUCAUACAUAACUAUGGGGUAUGUGAUUUUGACUCAACUUUAAUAUUAUAGCUUGACUACGUAUGGAUUUUAACAUCAAAAUCAUGAAAUUUGAAGAGAAGUUUUGGAAUUUUUUACUAUAUUUUGAAGAAUGAAAAUUUGAAAUUUGAGAGUUUAAUUGGAUUCAAUUUUUAAAAUUAAUCUUAUAUUUUGACUCAUAGAGUUAUGAGUAGUCAAUAUCUACCUUUCAACUAGGGUUAUAAUCAGGCUAGCCCGGAGUUGACUUUUGUUUACUUUUGAGAAUUGGGUAAAGAUUGCAACUUUAUUAAUUGAAAUUGAUUCUUUUGCAUUGGUUGAUGUUCUCGAGUAAUGUUUUUCCAAAUUUUGACCGGACGGAGGUGAAUUUAUGAGGUAAAGACUAUUUUUGAGUAUUGAUUUGGCUUGUUUGAGGUAAGUGUCUUGCCUAGCUUUGGUUGAUAGAAUUUUUCUACUAGUUGAUGUUGUUUUCUACAUGGAGGGGUGAUAUAUAUACGAGGUAACGAGCGUAUAUAUAUGUGUCAUAGAUAUUCAUUCUCGGGAUAGAUUCUAGUUUACUCAAUGCCUUAUAUAGUUGUACAUUUUACUUGAUCCAAUGUGUUACUCCUAUUAAAUUAAUCGACUUCGUGAGUAGUAUAAACCAUGCUAGAGGAAUAUUGAGGCUAUUGGUACUUUAUGUUGAACAUGAUGAAUAAAUCUUGAGACUCAUGCCAUAUUUGUCUUGGGGAUAGACACACGUAGGUUAUGAAUACAUAUCUGGACUUGAUCUUAUAAUGUGUCUUGAUUGACAUGUGUACAGUAUGUUAUGUAUAUGUGAUACUUUGAACGACUACUUGGACUUAGUUUUUAUACUUGAUUUAACCAUGAUUAUGCUUUAUUCACACUUUUGUUGUUAUCAUGUCCUUGUGCCAUUUUUGAGGAGUUAUGAGAAUAUGCCUUUUGAUCAUAAUUUGUUAUUUUCAUUUCUAUGUCAUUGUGGCACAUGUUGACAUGUUGCAAAGAUUGAUUUUAGAGGCGCAUGCGACGACAUAAGGGAGGCAUUUCAUUUGUGAUGAGCAUGCGGCGAGAUAAGAGUGGCUAGAUGCGCGUGCAACACAAGGCUUGUGUUUAUUGAUGCUCAUGUGGCGAGAUAAGGGUGGCUUAUGCACGUGUAGCAAUAUAAGGGGAAAUAUUCAUUGUGAUGCUGACGCGGCGAAAUAAGGAUGGCAUUAUGGGGACGUUAUGUGAUAGCCCGAGGGCAAUUUUUAUUGAUUAUGCAUGUGCGGUAGUACAAGAGAUUUUGGGUAGUUGUAAAGAGGGAGCUUUGAUUGAAGGCGUGCCCACAUGCCGAAUUCAUGCUAAUUGUUGUUCCUGACAGCAUAUGAUUUUACUUCUAUUUAUGUAAUUUUCAAUCAGAUGUUGUAUUUAAAUUAUUUCACCAGCUUUGUAAAUCUAAAUCAUAGUGGCUCAUGACUUGUAAUACUAGUUCUUGGGGUAGUUGUAUAUUGAAUUCUA